rnacentral:rRNA from 1 species
UACAGAGGCCUCGAGCGUUAGGCGGAAUCACUGGGCUUAAAGCGUGUGUAGGCGGACUUCUAAGUACCUUGUGAAAUCCCCCGGCUCAACCGGGGAAUGGCUGGGCAUACUGGCGAUCUUGAGCAGUCUAGGGGCAGAUGGAACAAGUGGUGGAGCGGUGAAAUGCGUAGAUAUCACUUGGAACGCCAAAGGUGAAAACAGUCUGCUGGGGACUUGCUGACGCUGAGACACGAAAGCCAGGGGAGCGAACGGG